rnacentral:rRNA from 1 species
GACGAACCGUGCGAACGUUGUUCGGAAUUACUGGGCGUAAAGGGCGCGUAGGCGGCCUUCUAAGUCGAACGUGAAAUCCCCGGGCUCAACCCGGGAACUGCGUCCGAUACUGGAAGGCUUGAAUCCGGGAGAGGGAUGCGGAAUUCCAGGUGUAGCGGUGAAAUGCGUAGAUAUCUGGAGGGACACCGGUGGCGAAGGCGGCAUCCUGGACCGGCAUUGACGCUGAGGCGCGAAAGCCAGGGGAGCAAACGGG